UUGAACGCUGGCGGCAUGCUUUACACAUGCCGGUCGAACGGCAGCGCGGGCUUCGGCCUGGCGGCGAGUGGCGAACGGGUGAGUAAUACAUCGGAACGUGCCCAGUAGUGGGGGAUAGCUCGGCGAAAGCCGGAUUAAUACCGCAUACGACCUGAGGGUGAAAGCGGGGGAUCUUCGGACCUCGCGCUAUUGGAGCGGCCGAUGGCAGAUUAGCUAGUUGGUGGGGUAAAGGCCUACCAAGGCGACGAUCUGUAGCUGGUCUGAGAGGACGACCAGCCACACUGGGACUGAGACACGGCCCAGACUCCUACGGGAGGCAGCAGUGGGGAAUUUUGGACAAUGGGCGAAAGCCUGAUCCAGCAAUGCCGCGUGUGUGAUGAAGGCCUUCGGGUUGUAAAGCACUUUUGGCGGGAACGAAAAGGACUGUGCCAAUACCACGGUUCGAUGACGGUACCCGCAGAAUAAGCACCGGCUAACUACGUG
rnacentral:rRNA from 1 species